rnacentral:misc_RNA from 1 species
AAGUCGUAACAAGGUUUCCGUAGGUGAACCUGCGGAAGGAUCAUUCAUGUAAAAAUGAAAGGGUCGUUUCUCCUCGGAGGGGUGGCCUGAUCGUCCAACCUGUGAACAUUACUAAUUUUGGUGACCAUGUAGUGUUGAUGCUAUAGUCUUUCGGGGCUGUAGUGUUGACCAGAAGCUGGCGCCAGGGGCUUGUUAACCAUUUUAUUUUAUUGCCUAAAACGUCUAAGUGAAUUAAAUUAUAACCUUUAACAAUGGAUCUCUUGGCUCCU